AUAACCAUGAAGCGUAUAACGAUAGUGACCAUUGUUUGUGUUGUGCUGAUAAAUUUCAUUUCCGAGGCCUACGGAUGUUGAUGUGUUCCUGGAACAGAUAAAGACAGGUUCUGUACCGCUACAUUUGUUUCACGAGGUAAAGUCAUUGGCAUCAAGUCUCUCAACGGACGUCAAAUUGAAUACACAGUGGCAGUGAAUUAUAAUUUCAGGAUCAAGGUUCCGAAUACACUUAAAGUUCGUUCUAACAGAAGUUCAGCUGCGUGUUGAGUAAAUUUAGAUAAAGGUGUUGAAUAUUUGAUAUCAGGAACUGUAAGGAAGUCCAAAUACGGAGUAACAUACCGAACAAAUAGUUGCCUGUGGAAUCAGAAAUGGCAAAAUAUAAGCUAUGAUAUACGAAAAAAACUCUUAAGUGGACAAUUCAAUAAUUGUUAGUCGUAAUAUCGGUAAAAGUGGUUUCGGUCAACUGCUAUGAUAACUUAUAA